UAAAAUUUUUAUUUUACAUUAAUAGUUAAUUAUAAAAUGAAUAUAUAUAUAAUUUUUAAAGGUAAUUAAUUUAAAUAAUAAUGAUAAUAAUUAAUAUAUAUAAUUAAUAUUUUAUGAAAGUAAAAAUUAGACAUUUUUAUAAUAUUAAAUAAUUAAGUGCCAGCAUUUGCGGUUAUACUUGUAAUAUAAAUUAACUUAUAUAAUUAAUAUAAUUGAUUUUUAUUUAUUUAUAUUAAUUUAAUAAAAUAUUAGAUAAAAUUUUAUUUUAUAAUUUAAUAUAAUUUAAAUUAUUUAAAAUUAAUAAGAUUAUAUAAUAAACUAGGAUUAGAUACCCUACUAUUAUAAUUUAAAAAUUAUUAACUAAUAAUUUUAUUCUGAAAGUUUAAAAUAUGGCGGUGUUUUUACCUAUUUAGAGGGGUUUGUAACAUAAUUGAUAAUCCACGAAAUAACUUACUUAAUUUAUAUUAAUGUAGGUUCGUAAUAAAGAUAUUUAAAAAUAAUUUUUAAUUAAUUUUAUUAAAUUUCAUUUCAGAUCAAUAUGUUGUAUAAUUAAGAGAUUUAUGAGCUACAAUAAACUUAUAAAAAUAAAAUUUAAUAUUAUUUUUAUUAGAAUUUAAUAGUAAAAUAUUUAAUUUAAAAUAUUUGAAUUAAGUUAAAAACAUGUACAAAUUGCCCGUCACUUUUAGAAAUAAAAUAAGUCGUAACAAAGUAAUUUUACUGGAAAGUGAAAUUAGUAUUAU
rnacentral:ncRNA from 1 species